CGCGCGGAGGAACACUGCGCACGCGCAGCCACGGCCGGGGCCGGCGGCGCAGGGAGAGGCCCUUCGCCAGGCGCGGCCUCGGCUCCCGCCCUCGGCGGCCGAGCUGCCCGGUCACCCCGCCCUCUGCACGCCCCUGCUGGUCGCGGCUGCGCGCGCAGAGCCUGAGCGGGCGCCGGCGGGAAGGGGAAGCGGCGGGUAAGAGGGGCCUGCGUCCCGGUGCGUCUGUGACGGAGGUGGGGGUUUCCUCUUCGGCUCUCCCGGCUAUCGGGAGCCUGAGAAGCAGAGUGAGAGGAGCCUCUGGAACCGGCGUGCGGCCGCCGCUCGCAGUCGCAGUGUUUGCGCCCUCCCCGGGCGUCGUUUGGGCCGGCCCGCUCCUGCCUCUCCUCUCCCCGCCCCCACGGGGCAGGCCGAAGGCCGAGCCGCUGGCCCGUCUGCUGUCCCCAGACAGGUGCGCCUUUUGGAACGAAGUACUCCCCUGGCAGUGGGAUAGCAUCUGCAGUUACUGCGAAGCGUGGUAACAUUAGGAUUUCUACGGGCUGUUACAGAGUGGGUAUUUAGUGAACUCUUCGUAGCAGGAGGCAGCAUUUUAGCUCAGUGACUGUGCUUGGUGCCUUGAAAUUGGGGGCAAAGGAGAUACUUUGUAAUUAAACCACUCGGGUCCAAAACCUCUUGACAGGAAGAAAUCUAAAGCAGAAAAAAGCCUGACAGCCGUGUCAUGUUUACUAGUAUCUGCAGGUCAAAUUUCUACAUAGAGACAAAUACACUCUUUGCUUUUAUAUGCCAGUUCAAUCUAAUGUGUUGACGUUCUGUAGAUGCUGACGUGAAGUUUUAGCAGCUACCUUGGAAACUCGCAAUCAAAUUUCUCAAUAAGUUAAUUCCCAGAUCAUCAUGAUAAUCACCUUACUUUUUCUUUGAUAAGUUUGACUGAAUGCUGUAAACUUAACCACUUUUUUCUAAUAUGAUCCCACACCAUUUGUCAGUCUUACUAGCAAUUGUCUUUGAUGCCUAAAUUACAAAACCUUAGUCAUCUUAGGUUUCUCUUAUGCUUCAUCUCUAUAUCUCUUAUAUUGCCAAAUCUCAUGUUUUCUUUAUUCAAAAAGUAACUUAGAUUUAUCCUUUUGAUUUUCAUUGUUGAAGCCGUAAGUCUGUUUUUCUAGGACUUUGUUACCUCUUAACUCACGCCCUGAAGGCUCAAAUAACAGUUCUAAAACAUGACUAUAGUCAUGUUUACUUUGAUGAACCUGUAAAGGCUCAGGACCAGAUUUCUAUGCUUGGGUUUCAAAGCCCUUUCUCUAUAACCUGGCCUAGUAUUUCCUAUGCAUGUGAUACUGUGGGAAAAGCCCAGGAUUUAGAGUAAGACCUGGAUUCAAAUACCAAGACGGUCAUUAUACUAACACUGUGUCCUUGGUAAACUCUGAGCUCCGUUGUUCUCUCUCGUUUUGAAUAACAAUAUUUUUUCUUCCAGCCUCUUAAUUAUUGUGAAAAUUAUAAUUGGCGUAAUGUGUGGAAAAGCUAUCA
rnacentral:lncRNA from 1 species